UGUAACAGUGUGUGUGUGAGAGCCAUGUAAUGUCCAUGUGUGCAUGCUGACUGUGCUGCUCUGACCCCCCUCCUCCUUUCAGGGUGGAGCCUGCUGGAGUCCGAUGGUUGAGACCAGGUCUGAGGAAGUAUUCCUGUCAACUCACAAUCGACACAAACACAGUGAACACAAAGCUCCAACUGUCUGACAACAACAGGAAGGUGACACAUGUGGAGGAGGUUCAGUCAUAUCCUGAUCAUCCAGACAGAUUUGAUGUUUGUGAACAGCUGCUGUGUAGAGAUGGUCUGACUGGUCGCUGUUACUGGGAGGUCGAGUGGA